CGAAUUUCCAAGAGGAAAGAAAAUUGAUACGAAAAAAAGUGCCAAAACGAAACGGAAUUUAUUUGGUGAACAAAGGAUAUUCGAGCAGAGAUCACAUUCAAUCGGAGUCAAUUCAUUUCCAGACACUACCUUGACUUUAUCCAUCACUUCGUAAAAUUGUACUCGGAGAAAGGAAGCGAUUUGGAAGAGCAGCAAUUGCAUUUGAAUGUUGGUCUCAACAAAAUUGCCGAAACAGUGGAGCAAGUUGAAGAGAUGCAAAAAUCAUUGGCUGUAAAAUCGCAAGAAUUGCAGGCCAAGAAUGAAAAUUGAAGAGAAGCGCAAGUUUGUUAUGAUUGCUAGUUGUUUCAAUCACUCAAAGUUGGACGAGUUAAACAAUGACGACAACGUUCAUGGUAUUAUCGUUCAAAUGCCAUUGGAUUGUGAGGAGAAGAUUUACUCUGAUUUGGUCACCGAUUACGUGAACCUCGAAAAAGAUGUUGAUGGAUUGCACACAUUGAACGAGGGCCGAACGGCAAUCAAAACCAAGAUUGGUUUCGUUCCAUGCACACCAAACGGAUGCAUCGAAUUGAUAAAACGCGCUGGCAUCACAAUUGCACGCGCCCAACAACCGAAAGACUAGGGGCAUAUGACUCUCGCGAAUGCUGCGAAUGCCACGCACUUAAUACGAAUACCUUGCGAAUGCGUCGUAUCAAAUACGAAUGGCUACGAAUGCUUGUGAUUGAUUUGCUUACAAAUGUCAAUUUAUAUUUUUUUUCGGUUAAAAAUGGUAAUUAAUAAUAAUGUUUGUUUUGUUUAUGUGUGAAUUUUUUUUCAAAUGAUCAAGUUUUUCAGGCAUCAAAUAAUGUUUUUCUUGGGUGGUAAUACUUGGCCUACUAUUUUUCGCAGUUUUCCCGUGAAACGAUCUUUGUUUGACAUGUUUCAGCGUUGAAUUGACAGCUGACACUGGCAUUCGUGUAGAUUCAUGCAUUCGCAACGCUCCCAUAUAAAAAAACGUUUUCGAAUACUCAUUAGCCCCUAGCCGAAAGAUAUUAAGAAAUUGAUGGCCAAUGAAAUUGGACUGCAAUCAAGUGAAGUGCACUUAUUUGGACCGAAAAAAGCGAAAAUUUCACUGAAAACACUUACUUGACUUCAAGACGGACCCGAUGGAAAAUAUGUCGUCGUUGCUGGAAUCACGCCAACACCAUUUGAAGCAUAAAAUUCACAUGGACCACGGCAUCACUAUCCAAUUCCAUCAAGAUCCAAUUUUUCUGGGCGAUCCAAAUGUUUCGAGAGGAUCGAUUUGUGCACUCGAUUUUUACAACUUUUGAAACUUAUGAAGGAAGGAUGGAGAGGGUCUCUAACAGAGAGAUUACGAAUUAUGGUGGGACUAUACUGCCAUCAAACUGGAUGAAUCAUUCGAAUCGAUAAUAGUGAUAAGGCAUCGUCACAAUGAAUAGAGAAACAAAAAAAAAAUCAUGAACAAAAACAAACACAAAAAAUAGAUUUAAAAUGGCAUUGCAUGCCUUGAAUUAAAUUAGCCAAAAAUUAAGUCAGGAACAAAAAUGUCGAAACAGUAAAAAAAAAGAACUAAGUCAUAAGCCACAUACUGCGUAUUUACAAAGAAAUCAAA